CCCGCAUCCAUCGCAUCCACCGCCGCGGCCGCAUCCAUCGCAUCCACCGCCGUCGCCCAUCCCCGUCCUCCCCCACCGCGUCGCCGACACAGCGCCGCCAUUGCCGUCGCUCCCCCACCGCGUCGCUCCCCCACCACGCCGCCGACCCCAGCGCCGCCAUCGCCGUCGCUCCCCCACCACGCCGUCAACCCCAGUGCCGCCAUCGCCGACCUCCUCCACCGCGUCGCCCAUCGCCGUCCUCCCCCACCGCGUCGCCGACACAGCGACAGCGGGAACGAGACUACGAGAGGUAUCGUUGGUGAGGUGCAACUUGCCAAGGACUGCAUCUUCAUCAUUGCCUGGGUGUCCACCUCGCUGAUCUCGUCCACGCCACCAUAACUCCAUCAGCAAGCCUCACUGAUCUGCUCCGCUUCGCCUCCGGGACUCCAUCCCCUGCUUCUCUGAUCUGGGACGCCGACGAGCCAUGGACUCCUGCAUCGAAGCACUGCCACCUCCUCCGCCUUGAGCAUCACUGUCGCCAUGAGGUCAUUGAAUGCCCAUGCCCCCUUUUGCAAAUACCUACUUGUUUUUCAAGUUUAUGUUGAAUGAAGCUAUCAGUUCUCUUUCUGUUCGAUUUGCCACCACUAUUUGAUAACCUAGGAAUGGCAGGUAAUGCCAAUGCUCCCAGGUUGCAUUGCUCUGUUUUUUUCCUAGAAGAUAGAGUAUUAUAUGUUGCUUCACUGAAAUAGUAGGUCUGGCCAUUAUUACCAUGCACCCGCUCAAAAUAGCAUGUCUGAUCUGGGGCCUGGGUGCAUAUCCAAGUCACUAUCGAUCGCCUGCUGUCCGGUCUCCGUCGCCCCUUCAUCAGGUUGACGUCGAUGCGUCGCCAACGCUGCGCCUUGCUGCAGUACACUCUGGUCGGUCAGAACAUGGCAAAUCAUUUCACAUAUAGCUAUUUCCCCUCGGUUGCCAGCUACCAGCUACCAAAGCAUCACCAACCUUCAAGUGCAGAAUAGGCAAAUUACAUGGCAUUGUUCUAUUUUAUGUUAAAUAUUAGUGACACAUGUUACAAAAUCCUGAGUUAAUUUUUUUAAACCUACUAGGUGUUACCACAAUAUAUAUUGAUGUAUUCUCAUUAAGAACAAUGUAUAUAUAUUAUUCCUCUAAUGUAAAGAUAUUGUUGUUUAUCUAUUCAAUGAAUUUCUGGUAUUUAUUUAAUUUUUAUGUUGUGUG
rnacentral:lncRNA from 1 species